AUAAAUCACUGCCCGGAGCGCGCGCUGUGAGAGUUUACUCGGUCAGCUACAGGAGUUACGUGGUUCGUCAUUCUGGAAUUUAUACCCCACCGGGGUUACUCUUCAAUCCUGGGCCUCUGCUGUCUGUUAUUCCAGCAGAUGACAGCAUCGAAUGCCUGCCUCUGGUUUGAUCUUCUCCCCAGGAUCUUGAUCCCAUGGAAAGGCCCCCAGUUGGCUUGUCAGCUGCUUGAUUUGUUUACGCUGUUUGUCCAUUAGGUCCAUAUGGGACUAAGAAAAAUUACAGGAUCACUGCUGACCCCACCUCCAAUAUCCGAGCAACAGAAGCCAACCAGGAGCCCCGGAAUCGACUUGCCGUGUUUCAGAUCUUCAAAGCAGCCAGUAACGUUCUGGAUGUUCCAGAGGCACAGAUCCGGAAGCAGACCUGCACGUGACCAGUGGCAGAGUGACAGCAUAAACUACAAAGUGAAGCAAUGAUACUGAGUCAG